rnacentral:rRNA from 1 species
GACGAACGCUGGCGGCGUGCCUAAUACAUGCAAGUCGAACGCUUCUUUCCUCCCGAGUGCUUGCACUCAAUUGGAAAGAGGAGUGGCGGACGGGUGAGUAACACGUGGGUAACCUACCCAUCAGAGGGGGAUAACACUUGGAAACAGGUGCUAAUACCGCAUAACAGUUUAUGCCGCAUGGCAUAAGAGUGAAAGGCGCUUUCGGGUGUCGUUGAUGGAUGGACCCGCGGUGCAUUAGCUAGUUGGUGAGGUAACGGCUCACCAAGGCCACGAUGCAUAGCCGACCUGAGAGGGUGAUCGGCCACACUGGGACUGAGACACGGCCCAGACUCCUACGGGAGGCAGCAGUAGGGAAUCUUCGGCAAUGGACGAAAGUCUGACCGAGCAACGCCGCGUGAGUGAAGAAGGUUUUCGGAUCGUAAAACUCUGUUGUUAGAGAAGAACAAGGACGUUAGUAACUGAACGUCCCCUGACGGUAUCUAAACAGAAAGCCACGGCUAACUACGUG